rnacentral:rRNA from 1 species
UACAGAGGUGGCAAGCGUUGUUCGGAAUUACUGGGCGUAAAGGGCGCGUAGGCGGUCCGAUAAGUCUUGCGUGAAAUCCCCCGGCUCAACUGGGGAACUGCGCGGGAAACUGUCGGGCUUGAGUUCGGGAGAGGGAAGCGGAAUUCCGGGUGUAGCGGUGAAAUGCGUAGAUAUCCGGAGGAACACCAGUGGCGAAGGCGGCGAUCUGGGAAGAUACUGACGCUGAGGUGCGAAAGCGUGGGGAGCAAACAGG